rnacentral:rRNA from 1 species
UAGGGGCCCUGAGACUAACUCCACCCUUUGUGACCUUACCGUCGUUGCCUCGGCGGGCUGUACUUACCCUGUAGCUACCCUGUAGCUACCCGGUAGGUGCGCUCCAAGCCCGCCGGUGGACCACUAAAUUCUAUUUUACUACUGUAUCUCUGAAUGCUUCAACUUAAUAAGUUAAAACUUUCAACAACGGAUCUCUUGGUUCUGGCAUCGAUGAAGAACGCAGCGAAAUGCGAUAAGUAAUGUGAAUUGCAGAAUUCAGUGAAUCAUCGAAUCUUUGAACGCACAUUGCGCCCAUUAGUAUUCUAGUGGGCAUGCCUAUUCGAGCGUCAUUUCAACCCUUAAGCCUAGUUGCUUAGUGUUGGGAAUCUGCCCUGUAUUUAUAGGGCAGUUCCUUAAAGUGAUCGGCGGAGUUAGGGCAUACUCUAAGCGUAGUAAUAUUCUUCUCGCUUCUGUAGUUGUCCUGGCGGCUUGCCGUUAAACCCCUAUAUUUCUAGUGGUUGACCUCGGAUUAGGUAGGAAUACCCGCUGAACUUAAGCAUAUCAA